ensembl:processed_transcript Gm8378 predicted gene 8378
GCAGACAGGCAGGCAGGCAGCCUGCCGGGAGUCCUGUUGAAGCAUGCACAGCGCACACCUCUACCCGCACCCACCACCAGGACCCCUCGCCAUCACCUCCUUGAACCGGGAGGAUCCAGAGCCCGGACCGGGGUUCCCAGGGGGACUCUGCUCACCUUGAUCUGGAAAAGCAGUUGGCAGAUGCAGUCCAGGCAGCUUUUGCCUGUUUCCUAAGUGGUGGCAGUGGGGCAAAGGAGGAGGAAGCAGAGAUAGUGUGAAGAAGCCAACUAGUGGAGCCAGCAGCCCUCCGCUAAAGUAGAAUAACUAACUGUCAGCCUAUGGUCUGUAUUCACAUCCCAAGCUAAGAAGAGACAGUGGGGAGAGAGGUUUGCCCUGACUACACCCUCGGGUCAGGCACAUCUUCAGGUGCAGCCAGAUGGCUCUUAUUUGGUGCAAGGCUGAGAUCAUAAAGCUUUUAAGGUGUGAGCAUGCAUAUGGUGUGAGCAUGCGUAUGGUGUGAGCAUGCAUAUGGUGUGAGCAUGCAUAAGGUGUGGGCAUGCAUAAGGUGUGAGCAUGCAUAUGCAAAGCACAGGCAGAGGCAGGAAGAGGGAUUAAGCUUUUGGGGGUCUGGGGGAGGGGUUGGUUUUUCUGAGACAGGGUUUCUCUGUAUAGUCCUGGCUGUCCUGGUACUUACUCUUUAGACCAGGCUGGCCUUGAACUCACAGAGAUCCGUGUGAGUGCUGGGAUUGAAGGUGUGCACCACAGCUGCCCAGCAAAAAGAAUAUUUCAUGCAUAUGACUAUUUUGACCUGCUUUGGCCAAUAGAAAUGCAGAAGUAAAAGUGUGUUCCUUAGUCCAGAUCUUGGGAGACGUCAUACACAUGUGCUUGCUCUCUUGGAAUAGACAUUCCAUGAAUGGCUUACAGAGGCUCAGUGAUGCCCUUCAACCAGCUGAUGGGAUUGUACUAGCCAUCUGUCCAGACACUUGAAUUGGCCCAGCACAGAUCAGACAGACCUAUUCCCCAUCCCCCACCCCCACAGACCCAUGACCAACAACGAGGGCUUUUUGUUUUAAACUAGAAUUUAGAUUGAUUUGUUAUGUAACUCACAGCUAAUGGAUACAUUUGGUCUACCUGCUCCUGGUUCCUGC